AUGCAUAUAUGCUAAUGAAUCAGCGACCCAAUGCAUAAAUUGAGGCCUGUUUAAACAAAAAUAGUAUCCAUGUAAAAUUUGUUUGGGAGAAUGGAAGGUGUUUAAAUGUUAGAGGUACUACUUUCUUUCCAUUUUAUUUUAACAGUUGUAAUAUACAUAUAGCUCUUAAGUUUCAAUUUCUAUAACUUAGGCAUUCAUCUUCAAGACAAUUUCUUUUUGCA
rnacentral:lncRNA from 1 species